GAACCCGUGGCGCAGUGGUAGCGCGUGUGAUUCCAGCCAGCCGGCCUUACGUAAGCAAUUAUGUAAUCGUGUUUCCACAAGGUCAUCCGUUCAAUCCGGGUCGGGUUCA